AGAUGUCCCACCUGGACCUGCCGGGCUCGCGGGGCCUGGGCAGCGCUGCCCACUCGGGCUCCUUCCCUGGCACGAGCGCCUACCUGGAGCUCCUGAAGAACCCGGGCACCCUGGGCACCAUGGCAGGAAUGCAGAACCGGGCGGAUCUCCAGCAGAUGCUGCAGCUGAUGGAGCAGUACACGGCCACGCUGAAGAACGCCAGCGGAUAAGGCUGGAAAAGCCCACGGAAAACCAGGAGAGCCGCCCAGGAGGUGCUUCCCGCAGCACGGAUGGCAACCCCCGCCCCGGGCCACCCUCCCUGUGUCCCUUUGUCCCUGUGUCCCCAAGGCCACCCCGCGUGUCCCCUCAGAUGUAUCCCCGCCUCUCGGCUGGAGCGGGACAACAGCCGGCCCCGAACCUGGGGACAACUCGC